ensembl:misc_RNA
UUUUGGGGCAGUGUUUACGGACUCUUCUUCUCUGCCUCCACCCAGCUCUUGGCAGGGGCUUUGAGCCUCUUCUGUUUCUCAGCCAGACCCGGAAAAACGAAAACACGGCUUGGGAAGCCCCCAGCAACCGGCGCCUGUGCCAGCUCACCUCUGGCUGUGGCGAGGCUGCCUGUGCGCACUGCCGCCAAGGCCAGCUCACGUUCUUUCUCCCCCUCCCACUUCACUGGAGCCGGGAGCCUUGCAAGCAGAGACUGCCAAAGUCGACUGGUCCUUCCUCACCAAAAAUGGUGAGACAAGAUUUCGCCUUGUCCGCUGAGGAGCCACAAGCAG